CACAGGGCACCCUCUCCAGAGACCCUUUGCAACCAGGCUGGCUGUUGCUUCAAGGCCAGCAGAAGAAUCACUUCUUUUCAGUUCACCAUGAUAGUCAUAAAUUAUAUUAGCCAGUCAAGAAUGCCGCUUUCCAUAUUCAUCACCUGGUCAUGUUCUCAAGCCUCCAGAUGGUCUCCAAAAGGCUGGCUGUGAGCACAUACGUGUGCAUGCCCUGUCCUAUCUGGAAAAUGCUGCUUUCUUGACGUCAUCCACCACCUCUGGCUCUUACAUCAUCCAGUGCUUUGCCACACAAAGGAAACAGCUGUUGGGCAGUGUGUUGCCAUGGAGAUGCUGGCAGCUGUCUGGAUUGCACCGCAGCUAUUGCCUCUGACACUUUCCUGACAGGAGCCCACCUGCCUAUGCAAGGACUAAAUAGAUGGCUCAGCUGUUAAAA
rnacentral:lncRNA from 1 species